UUUAUCGAAGGUAGAGCACUGAAUGUGUGAUGGCCCCACCUCGGGGUACUGAUCCCAAUCAAACUCCGAAUGUCGGUAAACAUGGCUAGCAGUAAGACUACGGGUGAUAAGGUUCGUGGUCAAGAGGGAAAGAGCCCAGACCGCCAGAUAAGGUCCCAAAAUAUAUGCUAAGUGGAAAAGGAAGUGGAGAUGCACAGACAACCAGGAGGUUGGCUUAGAAGCAGCCAUCCUUUAAAGAGUGCGUAAAAGCUCACUGGUCGAGUGACUCUGCGCCGAAAAUGUACCGGGGCUAAGCAUAUUACCGAAGCUGCGGAUUUAGAGUAAAGAUACUUUAAGUGGUAGGGGAGCGUUCCUACGGGGGUGAAGCACGAUCGGAAGGACGUGUGGACUUGUAGGAAGUGAGAAUGCCGGUGUGAGUAACGAAAAGAGAGGUGAGAAUCCUCUCCGUCGAAAACCCAAGGUUUCCAGGGGAAGGUUCGUCCGCCCUGGGUAAGUCGGGACCUAAGGCGAGGCCGAGAGGCGUAGUCGAUGGAUAACUAGUAGAGAUUCUAGUACCAGUGUAAUAACUGAUGGAGUGACAAAGGAGGAUAGCCUACCACCCUUAAUGGCUUGGGUGAGAAGGGAUCGAGGCUGCAACAUAGGCAAAUCCGUGUUGCGUGAAGGCUGAGACUGAUGUAGGACGAUUUCAAACUUUCAAGAAAAGCUUCUAGGGUUAAUUAUUGCACUGCCCGUACCGUAAACCGACACAGGUGGGUGUGUAGAAAAUAUUAAGACGCGCGAGAAAACUGUUGUUAAGGAACUCGGCAAAAUGACCCCGUAACUUCGGGAGAAGGGGGACUCAUGGAGACAUGAGUCGCAGAGAAAAGGCCCAAGCGACUGUUUAGCAAAAACACAGGUCUCUGCAAAACCGUAAGGUGAAGUAUAGAGGCUGACGCUUGCCCGGUGCUGGAAGAUUAAGAGGAGAUGUCAUCGCAAGAGAAGCAUUGAAUUGAAGUCCCAGUAAACGGCGGCCGUAACUAUAACGGUCCUAAGGUAGCGAAAUUCCUUGGCGGGUAAGUUCCGUCCCGCACGAAAAGCGUAACGAUUUGGGCGCUGUCUCAACAACAGACUCGGUGAAAUCAAGCUGCCGGUGAAAACGCCGGCUACCCGCGAUUAGACGAUAAGACCCCAUGGAGCUUCACUGUAACUUGAUAUUGGAACUGGGUGUAAGAUGUACAGGAUA
rnacentral:rRNA from 1 species